AGUAUCGUAGCCUAUGAGGUUUAUCCGAGGCGCGAUUAUUGCUAGUUGAAAACUUUACCCAAUACCCCGCCUUGACGACUUGAAAUAUAGUCGGCAAUGGCAAUUUUUGACGGUCUCUAAGGAGACUGAUAAGUCUGUUAACUGAAACUAAAAUAACGACGGCAGAGUCAACGUCUUACAGCGUUGCAUUGGUACUUGAUUCUUCCUCCCAGCGAUAAUUUCGAGCAUUUAGAUGCUGUUGUACACAGUCGCCGGGUCAUGGAGCAAUGUACUCAAAGGAACAGCAGAGGGCGGUGUUCAACAGGAUAUGGAAACAAUAGUUUGACAGAUGUGGAGGAAAACGCCGUCCCGUCAUGGAAAGUAAUUCCCACUCGUACUCUGAUGUUUAUAAACCACAUUCUACACAAACAUGGUUGAUAAUAAAAUGGCACUGUCUAAAAUAUUAA